rnacentral:rRNA from 2 species
CUCAGGUGUUGUUGGGUAGGGGAGCGUUCUGUAAGCCUGUGAAGGUGUGUCGUGAGGCAUGCUGGAGGUAUCAGAAGUGCGAAUGCUGACAUAAGUAACGAUAAAGCGGGUGAAAAGCCCGCUCGCCGGAAGACCAAGGGUUCCUGUCCAACGUUAAUCGGGGCAGGGUGAGUCGACCCCUAAGGCGAGGCCGAAAGGCGUAGUCGAUGGGAAACGGGUUAAUAUUCCCGUACUUGGUGUUACUGCGAAGGGGGGACGGAGAAGGCUAUGUUGGCCGGGCGACGGUUGUCCCGGUUUAAGCGUGUAGGUGUGUGUUCCAGGUAAAUCCGGUUCACUUUAACACUGAGGCGUGAUGACGAGGCACUACGGUGCUGAAGCAACAAAUGCCCUGCUUCCAGGAAAAGCCUCUAAGCAUCAGGUAACAUCAAAUCGUACCCCAAACCGACACAGGUGGUCAGGUAGAGAAUACCAAGGCGCUUGAGAGAACUCGGGUGAAGGAACUAGGCAAAAUGGUGCCGUAACUUCGGGAGAAGGCACGCUGACACGUAGGUGAAGUGAUUUACUCAUGGAGCUGAAGUCAGUCGAAGAUACCAGCUGGCUGCAACUGUUUAUUAAAAACACAGCACUGUGCAAACACGAAAGUGGACGUAUACGGUGUGACGCCUGCCCGGUGCCGGAAGGUUAAUUGAUGGGGUCAGCGCAAGCGAAGCUCCUGAUCGAAGCCCCGGUAAACGGCGGCCGUAACUAUAACGGUCCUAAGGUAGCGAAAUUCCUUGUCGGGUAAGUUCCGACCUGCACGAAUGGCGUAAUGAUGGCCAGGCUGUCUCCACCCGAGACUCAGUGAAAUUGAACUCGCUGUGAAGAUGCAGUGUACCCGCGGCAAGACGGAAAGACCCCGUGAACCUUUACUAUAGCUUGACACUGAACAUUGAGCCUUGAUGUGUAG